rnacentral:rRNA from 1 species
AUUGAACGCUGGCGGAAUGCUUUACACAUGCAAGUCGAACGGCAGCACGGGGGCAACCCUGGUGGCGAGUGGCGAACAGGUGAGUAAUACAUCGGAACGUGCCCAGUCGUGGGGGAUAACGUAGCGAAAGUUACGCUAAUACCGCAUACGAUCUACGGAUGAAAGCGGGGGACCGUAAGGCCUCGCGCGAUUGGAGCGGCCGAUGUCAGAUUAGGUAGUUGGUGAGGUAAAGGCUCACCGAGCCGACGAUCUGUAGCUGGUCUGAGAGGACGACCAGCCACACUGGGACUGAGACACGGCCCAGACUCCUACGGGAGGCAGCAGUGGGGAAUUUUGGACAAUGGGCGCAAGCCUGAUCCAGCCAUUCCACGUGCAGGACGAAGGCCUUCGGGUUGUAAACUGCUUUUGUACGGAACGAAAAGGCUCUGGUUAAUACCUGGGGCUCAUGACGGUACCGUAAGAAUAAGCACCGGCUAACUACGUGCCAGCCGCCGCAGUAA